GCAGCAGAGGCAAUCUCCAGAAGAGAUCUUUCCCUAUUGGUAGCCAGCUCUUAAAUAGGUCUAGGAGGGGUGGAGCCAGGCUUGCCUUCGCCUGUGCUCCUCUGGCUGACUCAUUGCUCACCGCAGGUGAUCAAUCAGAGGUUCAGGCCGUGACUCAGCAGUUCCCAUACAUGUACCAAAGUAUCUGAAAGUACUUACGCACAUUCGUUCAAAACUUCCUAUGCUGCAGCUUAUGUCCGUUUCCCCUAGACACUCUGGUGUGAAGCCCCACCUUCAACUCCCUUGCUUACACGAAAAGCAAAAAGCACACAGAUAACUAGUAGCUCCCUAUUGCUGCUGUGAAUAGCCCUUACUAAAAUGUCCAUCUCUGUUUUCAGAGAGAAGAAAAAUGACCUUUAAUCUGCUUGCUUUACAGGGACACUCUAACAUAUUAUGGAUAUUAAUUAUUUAACUUAUUAAUGAAUCCUACAGUGAGAUGAGAAGGAGAAGCACAUAACAAACUGUAAUUUAAAGUGUCAUUUAAGUCCCUAGUUCGGAUCUAGAGUUCACAUGCGUAACUGCAGCGACUUCCAGGUGCCGCGGGGCCGCGCACAGCUGCAGCUCGUCGGGAGCCCCGGGCGGGACCCUCCCCAAAGCCUCCCUGAGCAUCUUAAGCUCAGCCGGAGGCUGCUGGGAGUCACGGCGGAGUUCUUGCGGUUCUGUGUGGGAGAUGGAAUGGGCUCCGUUCGUUUGACCGGCCCUGCGGCUGAAAAGGGCUGCUUCUACAAUAGUGCCUUGGGAUCCUCUUUAAUGUUCUUGUUGUGUCGUUUUGUUUCAGGCUGCUGUGGGAUCCUCACUCGCGGUGAGGAUCAGCCCAAACCGCCGAGCGGUUCUGGUAGUAAGGGGGACCGUGGAGGCGGCGGGCGUUCGGGAGCUGUUAGGAUCUCUUAGGCUGAAGCAGGAGGCUGCCGGGUUGUCGAACCCUGCUCUUCCCGGGGCCGGCGUAGGGCUGCUGCCGGGCUCCUCAGGCUGUUUGCAGCCGAAGUAGCGUCGUUGCUCGGCUCCCAUCGCGUUUUCGGAGGGGGCUGCCGCUCGGAUCCGAGUCCUAGCCCAGCCCCGGGGUGCUCUCCGGGAUGCCCACCUUCCCCCAGGUUGUUGCGUGUUGUUUUUUUUGUUUGUGUGUGGGCGGGUGCAUUAGUUCUUCCUGCUCUCAUGAAUAGGAGCAAGCAGAAUUGGAGCCGUAUUCCUAUAGCCUCAGUGCUGCUAGGAGUAAGAAGCAACGCAAAGGGCUGCUGAAACAGAAGUUUUCUCCUCCUGCAGCCUUUACUCAGCCUGCAAUAGAGCCUCUCGUCAGCCCGAGCUGGAAAGACAGACUGGCAACGUGGUGGAGUUGCUCUUCCAGUGAGAGAACAGGAACAUACUGAGGUCUGCCU